GAUGAACGCUGGCGGCAUGCCUUACACAUGCAAGUCGAACGGUAACGCGGGCAACCUGGCGACGAGUGGCGAACGGGUGAGUAAUGCAUCGGAACGUGCCCAGUAGUGGGGGAUAGCCCGGCGAAAGCCGGAUUAAUACCGCAUACGACCUAAGGGUGAAAGCGGGGGAUCGCAAGACCUCGCGCUAUUGGAGCGGCCGAUGUCGGAUUAUCUAGUUGGUGGGGUAAAGGCCUACCAAGGCAACGAUCCGUAGCUGGUCUGAGAGGACGACCAGCCACACUGGGACUGAGACACGGCCCAGACUCCUACGGGAGGCAGCAGUGGGGAAUUUUGGACAAUGGGCGCAAGCCUGAUCCAGCCAUGCCGCGUGCGGGAAGAAGGCCUUCGGGUUGUAAACCGCUUUUGUCAGGGAAGAAACGGUCUGAGUUAAUACCUCGGGCUAAUGACGGUACCUGAAGAAUAAGCACCGGCUAACUACGUGCCAGCAGCCGCAGUAA
rnacentral:rRNA from 1 species